CCCUACCUAGUAUGGUGGUUGUGACUCUCGGCUUGUAAUCGAGGGUGCUCGGGUUCGAAUUCCGAACGAGGUGGGGA